rnacentral:rRNA from 1 species
GAUUGCGAAGGCGAUCUACUGGAACAUUACUGACGCUGAGAUGCGAAAGCGUGGGGAGCAAACAGGAUUAGAUACCCUGGUAGUCCACGCCCUAAACGAUGCACACUAGUUGUUGCUAUGCUAGACAUAGCAGUAAUGCAGUUAACACAGUAAGUGUGCCGCCUGGGGAGUACGGUCGCAAGAUUAAAACUCAAAGGAAUAGACGGGGACCCGCACAAGCGGUGGAGCAUGUGGUUUAAUUCGACGAUACGCGAAGAACCUUACCUGGCCUUGACAUAGACAGAAUUUUCCAGAGACGGAGAAGUGCUAGUUUACUAGAACUGUCAUACAGGUGCUGCACGGCUGUCGUCAGCUCGUGUCGUGAGAUGUUGGGUUAAGUCCCGCAACGAGCGCAACCCUCGUGUUUAGUUACUAACAGUUCGGCUGAGGACUCUAAACAGACUGCCUGGGUAACCAGGAGGAAGGUGAGGACGACGUCAAGUCAUCAUGGCCCUUACGGCCAGGGCUACACACGUGCUACAAUGGGGUAUACAAAGAGCUGCAAUACGGUGACGUGGAGCAAAUCUCAUAAAAUAUCUCCCAGUUCGGAUUGAAGUCUGCAACUCGACUUCAUGAAGUUGGAAUCGCUAGUAAUCGUAGAUCAGCAAUGCUACGGUGAAUACGUUCCCGGGUCUUGUACUCACCGCCCGUCACACCAUGGGAAUUGAAUUCAUUCGAAGCGGGGAUGCUAAAAUAGCUACCUUCCACAGUGGAUUUAGUAACUAGGGUGAAGUCGUAACAAGGUA